ACUUUUUACUUUCCCCUGCUGGUGCCCAAGACCACCGUGGAAGGAAUGGCUAAAGGAUAAGGUGGAGGAGACAAGUGAGUUAGAAUGGGGCUUGUUACCCCCAGAAGAAUUUUCCCAAGUGAAUGGAAUCAUUCUUCAAAAGAAAAUGUGCGAUUUCUGGGAUAAGAUCUGGAACUUCCAAGCCAAGCCUGAUGACCUGCUCAUUGCUUCUUACCCCAAAGCAGGAACCACUUGGACACAGGAAAUUGUAGAUCUGAUACAAAAUGAUGGCGAUAUUGAGAAAAGCAGGCGCGCUUCCAUUCAACUUCAACACCCUUUCCUGGAGUGGAUAAGAAUGACACACUGUGGGAUUGACCAGGCUAACACAAUGCCUUCCCCAAGGACCCUGAAAACUCAUCUUCCUGUACAACUACUGCCUCCAUCCUUCUGGGAGGAAAACUGUAAGUGUCCAAGAGGGAGAAUCUGAGACCCACUUUCCUGAGGUCAUCCAAUCCCCUCCCAUCUUAUCAGGGGUAUGGUAUGGCAGCUGUGGCAGAGGGAUGGAGGAGAGGAGACACCAGAGGGAAAAAAAAAACGCAAAUCCUGUUCACCCAGGAGGUCAACAAUGGAAGGAAUACAGAGGAGAAAGCACCAGGAGGGUGUAGCAGGCAUACCCCGAGAUGAAGAGGGGUUUGGGCGAAGUUGGAUGUGCAAACAACUCAACCCCACCAUGACAUGAAGGAGGCCACCGUGUGAGCACAGGGCCUGGAACAAUGGGUGUAAUGAGUUACUGCCACGUCAGAGAAAUUGGUUGCUCCUGUUGAUAUGGUUUGACUGUGUCCCCACCCAAAUCUCAUCUUGAAUUGUACUUCCCAUAAUCCCCACAUGUUGUGGGACGCACCCGGUGGCAGGUAAUGGAAUCAUGGGUGGUUGCCUCCAUGCUGUUCUCAUCAUAGUGAGUUCUCAUGGGAUCUGAUGGUUUUCUAAGGGGCUUUUCCCCUUUUUCUCAGCACUUCCUUUUGCUGCCAUCAUGUGAAGAAGGAUAUGUUUGCUUCCCUUUCCACCAUGAUUGUAAAUUUGCUGAGGCCUCCCCAGCCAUGCGGAACUGUGAGUCAGUUAAACCUCUUUUCUUUAUAAAUCACCCAGUCUCAGGUAUGUCCUUAUAGGAGCCUGAGAACAGACUAAUACACCUGUCAAUGCCAAAAUGAUAUAUUUUGGUGGAUUUAAAAUUAGCAAAGCCAGCCUGCCCAACCACAAACACCUCCAUCUCAGGCACAUGGUACUGCUUUAAAUAAAUAUCAGUAGGACAUGAAAGGUUGGGUCUGAAAAGUCAUCACCUACCUAACUUCCUCAGAUUCCUACCUUUUUUUAUAUUAAUCUUGAAGCUUGCUCUCCCUAUCUAAUUUUGUAUAGAUUUAGGAAUGUUAAAGUGUGUGGAUAGGCUGAUGCUAUAGGUUGCUUCUAGGGGAGGAAUCUGCCAAGAGAUACUGACCCCUGACCCUAGUCAUAGACUGUUCUCACUUCACGGUAAGUCAAUAAAAUGAUAGCUUUCCUGUUUGAGGGAUGCCCAAAUUCUUUGCAAAAUCUAAUUACAAGUCUGAAUAGGCAGUAAAAUUUGUUCUUGCUAUUUAUAUAAUUGUAAACUUUAACUCAGAAAUGGACAUUAUAAGCUGUUCUCAGAGUAUCCAAAGAUCAGGUUGGCACCAACAGGUCCCGAGUAAGUCAGGUUUUCUUCACCCCUCCCUGUGUCCCUCUGGGGACCGAGCACGUCCAGGGAGCAAGGAGCAGACCAGUCAGCAAAAUGUAAAACCUGUCUUAACCUGGAAGGUGGGGCUGUCUUAUCCACAUUUGGCUCCACCUCUGAGCUAACUUCUGAUUAAAGCUGAUCUAAGGAAA
ensembl:lncRNA SULT1C5P sulfotransferase family 1C member 5, pseudogene